rnacentral:rRNA from 1 species
UAUGGGCGAGCUGAUGGAGCAACGCCGCGUGAGUGAAGAAGGUUUUCGGAUCGUAAAACUCUGUUGUAAGGGAAGAACAAGUACAGUAGUAACUGGCUGUACCUUGACGGUACCUUAUUAGAAAGCCACGGCUAACUACGUGCCAGCAGCCGCGGUAAUACGUAGGUGGCAAGCGUUGUCCGGAAUUAUUGGGCGUAAAGCGCGCGCAGGCGGUCCUUUAAGUCUGAUGUG